rnacentral:rRNA from 1 species
GACGAACGCUGGCGGCGUGCUUAACACAUGCAAGUCGAACGGAAAGGCCCUGCUUUUGUGGGGUGCUCGAGUGGCGAACGGGUGAGUAACACGUGAGUAACCUGCCCUUGACUUUGGGAUAACUUCAGGAAACUGGGGCUAAUACCGGAUAGGAGCUCCUGCUGCAUGGUGGGGGUUGGAAAGUUUCGGCGGUUGGGGAUGGACUCGCGGCUUAUCAGCUUGUUGGUGGGGUAGUGGCUUACCAAGGCUUUGACGGGUAGCCGGCCUGAGAGGGUGACCGGCCACAUUGGGACUGAGAGACGGCCCAGACUCCUACGGGAGGCAGCAGGGGGGAAUAUUGCACAAUGGGCGGAAGCCUGAUGCAGCAACGCCGCGUGCGGGAUGACGGCCUUCGGGUUGUAAACAGCUUUAGCCUGUGACGAAGCGUGAGUGACGGUAAUGGGUAAAGAAGCACCGGCUAACUACGUG